rnacentral:rRNA from 1 species
AACGAACGCUGGCGGCGUGCCUAAUACAUGCAAGUCGAGCGGAAUGAUGAAGAAGCUUGCUUCUUCUGAUUUUAGCGGCGGACGGGUGAGUAACACGUGGGCAACCUACCUUGUAGAUUGGGAUAACUCCGGGAAACCGGGGCUAAUACCGAAUAAUCCAUUUUGCUUCAUGGCGAGAUGUUGAAAGACGGUUUCGGCUGUCACUAUAAGAUGGGCCCGCGGCGCAUUAGCUAGUUGGUAGGGUAAUGGCCUACCAAGGCGACGAUGCGUAGCCGACCUGAGAGGGUGAUCGGCCACACUGGGACUGAGACACGGCCCAGACUCCUACGGGAGGCAGCAGUAGGGAAUCUUCCACAAUGGACGAAAGUCUGAUGGAGCAACGCCGCGGGAGUGAAGAAGGUUUUCGGAUCGUAAAACUCUGUUGUAAGGGAAGAACACGUACGAGAGUAACUGCUCGUACCUUGACGGUACCUUAUUAGAAAGCCACGGCUAACUACGUG